GCUCAGUUGGCAGAGCGUACGACUGUUAAUCGUAAGGUCGUGAGUUCGAACCUCAC
rnacentral:tRNA from 1 species